UUGGGCGUAAGAGCUCGUAGGCGGUUUGUCGCGUCUGCUGUGAAAUCCCGAGGCUCAACCUCGGGUCUGCAGUGGGUACGGGCAGACUAGAGUGCGGUAGGGGAGAUUGGAAUUCCUGGUGUAGCGGUGGAAUGCGCAGAUAUCAGGAGGAACACCGAUGGCGAAGGCAGAUCUCUGGGCCGUAACUGACGCUGAGGAGCGAAAGCAUGGGGAGCGAACAGGAUUAGAUACCCUGGUAGUCCAUGCCGUAAACGUUGGGAACUAGAUGUGGGGACCAUUCCACGGUCUCCGUGUCGCAGCUAACGCAUUAAGUUCCCCGCCUGGGGAGUACGGCCGCAAGGCUAAAACUCAAAGGAAUUGACGGGGGCCCGCACAAGCGGCGGAGCAUGCGGAUUAAUUCGAUGCAACGCGAAGAACCUUACCAAGGCUUGACAUAUACCGGAAACAUGCAGAGAUGUGUGCCCCGCAAGGUCGGUAUACAGGUGGUGCAUGGUUGUCGUCAGCUCGUGUCGUGAGAUGUUGGGUUAAGUCCCGCAACGAGCGCAACCCUCGUUCUAUGUUGCCAGCACGUAAUGGUGGGAACUCAUAGGAGACUGCCGGGGUCAACUCGGAGGAAGGUGGGGAUGACGUCAAAUCAUCAUGCCCCUUAUGUCUUGGGCUUCACGCAUGCUACAAUGGCCGGUACAAAGGGCUGCGAUACCGUAAGGUGGAGCGAAUCCCAAAAAGCCGGUCUCAGUUCGGAUUGAGGUCUGCAACUCGACCUCAUGAAGUCGGAGUCGCUAGUAAUCGCAGAUCAGCAACGCUGCGGUGAAUACGUUCCCGGGCCUUGUACACACCGCCCGUCAAGUCAUGAAAGUCGGUAACACCCGAAGCCAGUGGCCUAACCGCAAGGGAGGAGCUGUCGAAGUGGGAUCG
rnacentral:rRNA from 1 species